GAUGAACGCUGGCGGCGUGCCUAAUACAUGCAAGUCGAGCGAACAGACGAGGAGCUUGCUCCUCUGACGUUAGCGGCGGACGGGUGAGUAACACGUGGAUAACCUACCUAUAAGACUGGGACAACUUCGGGAAACCGGAGCUAAUACCGGAUAAUAUAUUGAACCGCAUGGUUCAAUAGUGAAAGACGGUUUUGCUGUCACUUAUAGAUGGAUCCGCGCCGCAUUAGCUAGUUGGUAAGGUAACGGCUUACCAAGGCAACGAUGCGUAGCCGACCUGAGAGGGUGAUCGGCCACACUGGAACUGAGACACGGUCCAGACUCCUACGGGAGGCAGCAGUAGGGAAUCUUCCGCAAUGGGCGAAAGCCUGACGGAGCAACGCCGCGUGAGUGAUGAAGGUCUUCGGAUCGUAAAACUCUGUUAUUAGGGAAGAACAAAUGUGUAAGUAACUAUGCACGUCUUGACGGUACCUAAUCAGAAAGCCACGGCUAACUACGU
rnacentral:rRNA from 1 species